rnacentral:rRNA from 1 species
UACGUAGGGUGCGAGCGUUAAUCGGAAUUACUGGGCGUAAAGCGUGCGCAGGCGGUUUUGUAAGCCAGAUGUGAAAGCCCCGGGCUUAACCUGGGAAUGGCAUUUGGGACUGCAAGGCUUGAGUGCGGCAGAGGAGACUGGAAUUCCUGGUGUAGCAGUGAAAUGCGUAGAUAUCAGGAGGAAUACCGAUGGCGAAGGCAGGUCUCUGGGCUGACACGUGACGCUCAUGCACGAAAGCGUGGGGAGCAAACAGG